UACGAAGGGGGCUAGCGUUGCUCGGAAUCACUGGGCGUAAAGGGUGCGUAGGUGGUCGGGUAAGUCUGAGGUGAAAUCUCCGAGCUCAACUCGGAAACUGCCUUGGAUACUAUCCGGUUUGAGGGUUGGAGGGGGGACUGGAAUUCUCGGUGUAGCAGUGAAAUGCGUAGAUAUCGAGAGGAACACCAGCGGCGAAGGCGAGUCCCUGGACAACUCCUGACGCUGAGGCAUGAAAGCUAGGGGAGCAAACAGG
rnacentral:rRNA from 1 species